GACGAACGCUGGCGGCGUGCUUAACACAUGCAAGUCGAACGGAAAGGCCCUGCUUUUGUGGGGUGCUCGAGUGGCGAACGGGUGAGUAACACGUGAGUAACCUGCCCUUGACUUUGGGAUAACUUCAGGAAACUGGGGCUAAUACCGGAUAGGAGCUCCUGCUGCAUGGUGGGGGUUGGAAAGUUUCGGCGGUUGGGGAUGGACUCGCGGCUUAUCAGCUUAUUGGUGGGGUAGUGGCUUACCAAGGCUUUGACGGGUAGCCGGCCUGAGAGGGUGACCGGCCACAUUGGGACUGAGAUACGGCCCAGACUCCUACGGGAGGCAGCAGUGGGGAAUAUUGCACAAUGGGCGGAAGCCUGAUGCAGCAACGCCGCGUGCGGGAUGACGGCCUUCGGGUUGUAAACCGCUUUCGCCUGUGACGAAGCGUGAGUGACGGUAAUGGGUAAAGAAGCAACGGCUAACUACGUG
rnacentral:rRNA from 1 species